rnacentral:miRNA from 1 species
CCUAUUAAAAAUAGAUUCCUGGGCCCUGCCAAAGAAAUUCUGAUUCAGUAAUUCUGGGAUGGAGCCCAGGAAUCUGUAUUUUUA